rnacentral:rRNA from 1 species
ACCCAUCGAAAAUCUAGUAACAAUUGGAGGACAAGUCUGGUGCCAGCACCCGCGGUAAUUCCAGCUCCAAAAGCGUAUAUUAAUGCUGUUGCUGUUAAAGGGUUCGUAGUUGAACUGUGGGCUGUGUAGGUUUGUUCCUGGUCGUCCCGUCCAUGUCGGAUUUUGGUGGCCCAGGCCCUUGCAGCCCGUGAACAUUCAAAGAAACAAGAAACACGGGAGUGGUUCCUUUCCUGACUCACGCAUGUCAUGCAUGCUGCAGGGGGCGUCCGUGAUUUUUACUGUGACUAAAGAAGUGUGACUAAAGCAGUCAUUUGACUUGAAUUAGCAAGCAUGGGAUAACAAAGGAGCAGCCUUUAGGCUACCGUUUCGGCUUUUGUUGGUUUUAAAGGUCUAUUGGAGAUUAUGGAGCUGUGCGACAAGUGCUUUCGCAUUCCGAUCCUUGGUGGU